UAGAAACGUGGGUACUACUAAAUAUAUUCAUUAGGUUGUAUUGUACGAGGUAAUUUGGGAGGAAAGCCAUUUUCCUAUAAAAAUUAUUACAAAUUCCCAAAAUUAGGUUCUGUUACUUGUCAUUGGUCGCAUUGUAAAAUGUUACACCAGUGGUCGGGCAUGAGCAUUUUGGGACAGCCGAAGAUUCACCCCCUUAGAUCGACAUGCCCUUCGGGCUGGUUCGUACAUGUUCGGUUUUUUUUUUUUUUUAUCUGUACGUUCAUAACAAACAUUGCAUUAUCGAAGAAUUGUAGACCAAUGUAUUUUAUAUUUUUUUAAGAGCAUUGUAAAAUGUUACACCAGUGGUCGCGCAUGAGCAUUUUGCUCACAGACUUAUAAUUUUACGAUUAGAGUCGUGCUUUUAAAAGGCCAAAUAUUUUUACUUAUUGCAAAUGAAACAACUCUGCUUGUUUAAAUAAUAUUUUAUAUUAUUAUCACAUAAUUAUUAAAAUCAUUAUCGAAGAUUGUAUUGUGAUACUUAGAUUAAUUAAACAGACUGGCGUGAUAUGACAGUGGUGAGCAGAUUGCUUCAAUGUUAUUUAACAUAUAAAUAGGGUGUCCACAUUCUGGAAACUUGGAGAAAAUUCAUGAAAAGUAAGGAAACAAACAUGAAAUCCUGAAGUAUGAUGUCUUAAAACCUCCAAGAUGUGCAGAAAAUGCUGUUCAAACUUAGUUUCCUGAAUUUCCUGAAGUCCUCAGUCAAAAAUCUCCUAAGCUACAUAGAAAAGUAAUACGAAAGGAAAUGCCAAAAGCAAAGAAAGAGAAACUGACUCCUUUACCGCACGGUGAUGUGCAGGAAUUGCCUGUAACUUUAUCACAGAAAUUUAAUGUGAUUACUCCGCCAAAGAACUCUAAUUCAUCUGUUUUUGAACAAUUAUGUAUUGAUGCAUACAGUAUAGGGGUGCCACAAAGUUGGUCUAUAAUUAUUCCUACUGGUGGACCUAAGUGUAUCUUUUAUGCUCAGGUAGUCUCAAGAAAGGUAGAUGAGCAAAUAGUUCCUGUAUGCAUUAAGCAAGUCUGUGUAGAUGAAAAUGAUUGUGUUACGUGUUCCGUAAUGGGGAUGAACCUUAGCCAAAAAGCUCUAAGAACUUCAAAAGAACCUUUGAAAUCAUGCCAGGAACUAAAAGACAUUUUGAUAUUUUUCAAUGAGUUAAGUAUUUGCUGUGGAACUAAACUAAACGAAAAGUGUAGCGAAUUGGAGUGUCACAAUUUGUGUAAAGAUUCGUUAGGUUGUUUCAGACACACAAACUGUUCAUUAGUUGUUGCUGAAGAUGGUGUUUGUGAAGAAUGUAAGAAGCUUCAGAAAAUCCUUGGUCAGAAGUUGUUACGGCUGGAGCAGAGAACUUGUUUCGAAAUAAUUUGCAUAGUUAAAAAAAGAAUAAAAACUAAAUUUGAUUAGGAAGAAGCAAAGAAAAAUAUAGUGCCACAUGAUGUUGAGAUUCAAAGAUAAAGUCAAUAAAUAUAAAACAGAACUUGAAAGAAUGCAUGCUAAGGUGAAAAAGUUGAACUAACGAGUAGGAUUUUGUGGAAAUAAAUUAAAUCCAUGCCAAAUUUUACAUAAAACAAAAUCACAGACCUGCUUGAAAUUUUAAAUGUGUCAAAACAGAAGACUGGAAAUGGCAGAACGUAUUUGGAAAACUGGAGUUAGCUGUGUUUAUGUAUGUGAGGUCACCAAUGAGCUACAGGUUUAUUAGAGAAGAUAAUAUCUUUCUCUUUCCAUUUGUGAAAACAAUUCAGCGCUAUUUAACAUUGGUUGAUACUAGAUGUGGUUUUGACUUGAAAUUUUUUGAACUGCUUUGGAAACAUUUUCAAGGAAAAAUGGAAAUACACAGCUAUGAAAUUCUGUUUCGGAAUGAAAUUUAUCUCUGGAAGUUUGUGUGUUCAAAAAACUUCAACUACAUUGGUUUUUCAGAAUAUGGUGUUGAUGGGCCCAGUGGUCAAAGAUGUGAAUGACAAAGGCAACUUGUGGGCUUGUUUUCAUGUUCCAGCCAUUGAAGACUGUGUGCAGUCACGCUGUAUUUGCUUGAAAAAGUUUGAUGAGCUAACUAUCAAAGCCAUAAUUCAUUUAGAAAAGGCAAUUGUUAAAAUUCAUAGGUUUGUGUCUAUUGGUAAAAUCACAAAGUGGAAAAUGUGGCAACAUUUUAAAAAUUUGUGGCCAUUUUUAUUUGAUUAUUUAUUUUUAUUUCCAAACAGGCAUCUUAAUUUCUGAGUUAUGAAACAUAUAUUUUUUCUGUAACAUUCGGUGAAUGAUACAUUUGAACCUACUUUUCUGUUAGUGCAUUGUCUUAUUUAUGUUAUUCUCAAAUUUUUCACCUAACCAGGAUUUUUUUUUUUUCAUGAGACUGACUAGUUCUAAUUGAUUUGACUUAAUGAAGUUCUACUAACUGCAAAACAGUUUUGUAAUAAAAUGAGACAAUCACCUAAACUAAAGUGGUUUCUUCGUUCAAAGGGUUUCAUAAGGUCAUUCUUUGUGAAGCAGCAGGCAUCUCUAUAAUUAAUGUACUAUUUUGCACCACUGUUUUAGAUUUAUGUAAGUGAUGAUUCGAAUCUAUUAUUUUUUAAAUCAGAAUCUCAAAUUUAAUUCUUCAAAGAGUAUCUCCAAUCCAAAUUUAGAUCUCAAAAGUCCGGAACAAAAAAAAAUUAUAUAAGCAAAAAACAGAAGUUUAAGUUCUAAAGAAACAUUUAUCCUGUUGAGUAAUUUUUAAAAUAACACCAUAUUUACAAUUUUAGGAUAUAAUUUUUUUUUUUUUUUCCCUGAAAGUUUAAACAUUCCCAGAGCAUUUUAGCUGGUGGCAGGUACAAACAUUUAUUUGACAGCUUCUGUAGGGAGGGAUAACUAUUGUAGUCCUUGUGAUAGUGUUUGAAAUUCUGAAAACCCCCCUCACGACAAGGUAAUCACUUCAUCGUGUAGGUACCAUGAGUGAACAGUAGUCUAUGUAUGCAUGUGGUCAUAGAAUAGUAUGUUUGUCUUUAGGAAUUUAAAAAAACAUGGUAUGAAAAAUCAUGCAUAUUUAUUUUUACAAAAGUACACAAAUAUUGAAUUAUAAAAUGUAAAGACAUGCAUGUGUUAUGGUCGACUUUGUUUAAUUUUUCCAGUUAGCCCACUCAUAGGGUGCUUUUUUUUUAAUUAUACUUCUUUAGGCAUUAUGAAAAAAUGAUGGGAAUGAAUUUUUACGAUGCAUGCGCAGCACACAACAAAAACUGACAGGAUGAAAAAAGGCAACAUACAAAUAAACAUAUAUGUGCUUUUAAAUCACAUACUUCAGUGAUUGAUAUUGAGUACUGGUCCAUGUCAUUAAAAACAUUUAUUUUGUGAAUAUUAGUGUUAGAAAUUGUGUUUAUAAACUUUUUCAAGUGUAUUUAUAUAAGUGAGGUUAUGUUCCUGUCUGCAUAACGAUGUCAAGUUGCUUGUAAGCUUUCAUUGUUGCUAGCAGGGAGUGUCUAUAUGGAAGGUUUCUUGGCAGUUUUCAUGGGUUUGUGAGGAUAUGUUCCCGUAUGUAUAAUUUAUUUGCAUUAUAAAUUAUGCAAUAAAUAAUGAUUAAAGUUAACAAAUUAGAAUAAACAUUCAGCAUAUUUAUUGAUUUUAAUUACUAAUAAAAAUUUGUCUCGAUUAUUUUAAAGUACACCGAUCCCUCACUUAGCACAACUAAUGCAUUCUUAAAAAUGUUUGUGUUAUCCGAAAUCGCGUAUUCUGAAGCAUUGGUCUGCAUAAAUAGCCAAACUGAUUUACGUAAUGUGUUCCAAAAUGAGUAGGGAAACAUUCUUUACGUAAUUUAAAAACAUAGAAUAACACUCAAUGAUAAAUAUGUCACACCAUUUAUCUUUAUAACCCUACCAUUGAAUACUUUAUAUGACAUAUACAACACUGCGUAAAGUGAGUUAGUUGUCAGUCGGCUGGUUCGCUUGCCCGCCCGGGCAUGACCUUCAACUUAUGUCGCGUACCUUUCCGCACUAUCUUUUACUGGCAAUGAAAAUUAUAUAACUGUCCGGAAAUUUACAUUUUAAUUUUUCAAAAAAUAAAGUUAUUCAUGUAUCACUGCUUGGUUCACAUCAAUCCUGUCAGGCUCAUGUUGUUUUUCAUUGCACCAUUCAUUUAACAACCUUUUCCAUGUGAAUCAAAUGUUCAUUUCUGUUCUGGUAUCUACUGUCAAAUAUAUUCCCACUAGUACAACCAACAGCAUCAGACUUAUAUAAACGUUUGAUAGAGUCCGUACUUACAUUUGACUUGCUUAAAAGUAAAGUGCGACCAACGUAAGUGUGGCCUUCAUGACAUUCUGCACGCCGUUUUACUUCUAGUUUUGUCUCAAAUACUCAAAUACUUGAACAAAAUGCAUUAUGCUCUCACUUGGAAGCCAUGAUUCCACUAUGAUUCCAACUGCAGGUUAUUACACACGUACAGUUACCGGCAGAUGAAUGGGCAGAUGUUGCUUUUGUUUGUGCAAGUUCUCUCGUACUGGCUAGACUGAGUUCAUCACGGCUCGUUCUGGCCAGGCGACAACAGUAUGGCGUGGCGGCAUACGAGCAGACAUUUGGUCCUUUACAUUCCAUAGCCUAUACGUACUUAACUUGCCCUAGCUGAUGUUUGUACAACAGCGGAUAGCGUAGUCAGACCUGUGCGCGCAUCUCUUCCUCCCUCAUAUGGCUAACUGCAUGCCAUUGUACAUCUGUAGUUUACAGAGUUGAAUCACUUUGUGGCAUCAUGCCUGACUUUUAUUGCCUAUGGUGAUUUCAUGCUAACUGAAAUUUACAAAUGUGCUAUUCAAGACUGAAGCAGUAAAAUUAACAUUGUGCUAAAUAAAUUUGCGCAAUUUGAAGACGUGCAAGUGAGGGAUUGGUGUACACCUAAUAAAAUUAAAUGAAUUUAAUCAAAUAUAAUUUUUACCAAAACUAUCAUGCUAAAAUUGCAGCAACAGCAACAUAAGAUUUAUCAUUCGAUCUGACACUGUCAUUUGUGUUUUCAUAAUAAAUCAGUACCACUCUGUAAUUCUGUGACUGUUCUUAUGCAUCAGUCAAACAUAUGGAAAAUCUAUAGUACUUGGCAGCACUGGAAAAUGUACUACUAUCUAUAACAACUGUCAUCCUAAUAUCUGAUGUCAAGCAAAUUUUUUAAAGUGUCAAGUAAACUUUCACUUGUGAAAGCAUUAAAAAUAUACAUAUAUUAAAUGGCUUAGUGCUUAAUAGGAGAUGGUAACCAGGAUAUCACUGAAUGUGACAUCAUUUAGCAUCUAUAGGUGUUUAAUUUGUAACAUUGCUGAAUAUUUAUGUGAACUUGAAAUUCAUGUUCUGUAUGAUCACAAUCAAGCUAAUAAUUUUUAUUAAUAACUUAGUUAACAAUCCAUUGUGUGAUGGGGAUGAAUGGUUUUGGAAAAGACUGUUGAUUAUGUUUUUAAAGAUAAAUAAUAUGAGAACGCUGAGUUGUUAAAACUUGUUUGUAAUUCUUGUUGGUAAAUUUGAAGGCACCUAUUGUAUUUACCCACGUAUGGGUCACACAUUUUAUGCAGUUUUUUAGUUUAAAAAAAUGUAUUGCAACUUAAUGCAAUUUUUUCACUUUAUGUAAAAAAAAAUUAUAAUUGCAUAUUGAUGUUUAGUAAUGUGUGUAAAUAACUGUGUUGGUUUUUUAUAUAUGUCAUGAAUAAUUAAAAAUUGUUAAAAUAUCUCGGCAGUGUGUGAAAAUCACAAUGAAUGGCGCCAUUGUGCUACGUCGGUCGCCCAGCUGGCGCCGAGGAGUGACCUCUCCCUCCUUCAUUGUUGUAAACAUUGGUGAACUGUCACUGUACACAAUCUUCACGCGUCUAUUUCGACAGGUUUUUAAGACGCUAAUGUGACCCAACAUUAUUGUAUUUUACUUGUGAUUUCUCAGCUUUUAAACGCAACAUUCCAUGACAAAACUGCUGCCAUCAUUGGUGCUGGGAAAGUUACACUUCAAAGCACAGAUUUUUACAUUCCUCCAGCCUCCCAAUGCCCCUCCGCACGAAUAUAAUGCUACCUCACUCCCUCCUACAGUAAUAAAGUAGCACAGAUUUAUGUUAAAUUUGUUGUGUAUUUAGUGCCCUAUUUUUCAUCUGCAGUGAUUUCAGUUUUAUUAUAAGUACCUUCACAUUGGUACAUACCUCACUUAACAAUCAUGUCGCUAAUAACAAGCUCCUUGCGUACUUUGUGUUUUGCAUGUUGCAUAGAAACCAGGCAUUGCAGUUUUUCAUCCAAAUUAAUAAUCUUCCUUCAAAAGUCAUAUUAUACCUUCACAUUACAAAAAUGUAUGUGAAAUAAGGGUUUUACCCCCUUAUUAUUAAAAUGAAAAAUAGUAAACAUCAGUGACAAGCUUUGAAGUUAUUAUUCAACUUUGUCCAAUCAAACAUUAGCCAGAUUCUUCGUGUUCCAUCUUAAAUACUUUCUCUGAUAUUUGCAAUAAACCAGUUUUCAACUACGGCUUCAGUAGACCAUAAGUUGCAUACAUGUCAUCUACUUAUUUUUUGGUGAUGAAACUGCAGACAAAGUUUGUCGGUCCAAUUCAGACUCAUCCUAUACGUUGUAUACAAACCCAGUUUCAAUGUAUUUAUUGACAAAAUAUACAGCAUUUACCCAAAAAUAACAUGACACCAGACUCUUUUUUAUUAUGAGUUAUGAAAAUGACUUCAUGAAAUAGAAAGUGCAAUUCGAUUAUAUUGUGUACUUGAAAAUUAAACUAGUAAAUUUAUUCCAUAUUAUCGAAACCUUUUCUGGUGCCACAUUCGUCAGUAGAGUGAUUUACGCUGUCCCUUUUUGAAACAUCAAGCGGCAGUUAAAAGAAGAAAACUGUAAUUUAUGACUGUAGUUCAAACAGUGCAGAAAACAAAAAGAAUUUCUUGUCACCUGGGAAGGAGAAAGGUGAGAGGGAGGGGGUGCCUUCCCCAGCAACCACAGUGAAGAGAAGAUGAAGGAACCCUGUGACAAACUCCAUUUGCACCCUUCACUUCAACCUUUAUUCCAGGUGUUAAACCUCAAACAUCAGUCACACCUGUGCAGAGGUAGAGGAAGCUCCAGACUCAAGAGGCAUAAGCAACAUUUUACAGGCAGAGCAUAUAGUAGUUUUUUUAACUAUGUUUGCCCAAUGGCAAGAUAUAAGUCUGCAACUACUGUGUUUUAUCACAUAAUUGUUGCACCGUUAUUUUAGGACAUCCAAAUUUGGAGAGAAAACAAUUUCUCGCAUAAACAUCACAUAAUGUUUUUAGAUUCCGAGCGCUUUGUGUAGGUAGUUUUCCCAUAUAAAACAAUGUAUUUUAAAGUUGAAAUCUAAUAUUCAUUCGGAUGUUACAACUUACUUAUUUAAUUAACAGAAAUACGAAAUUGUCUGAUGUGUAUAUUUUCUUUUAAAGACGUUUUCAAACAUUAUAACUUUUUAUCUUUUCGUCUUCAUUGCCGCUGUGUACCGCUUAUAAAAAUGCUAGUUGGCAUCAUUCAUGUUUGGUUAUUUUGAUUCCCGUAUAGAGCGCGCGCGCACGUAGUUAAAUAUCGAUAAAGAUAGCUCAUCAAUUGCAUGCAACACUGCGCUCUGUCUGGUGCCGAAUUAACUACAUUUGAUAGCCCACGCUUUCUCGUGGUGUGUACUACGAUAGUUAUGUGCUCCGACUCACGUUUGUGUCACAGUUUUGAUUUUUCUAUUUAAAGUUGAACAAAAUGUUUUUGUUGCAUGAGUUAUUAAUUUAAAUUUUUGGCGUGCUUUUGUAUACUCUACUUUUGAAAUGAACUUGCACUCCUUGAAUAGGUUUUGUUUUUAUGAAUAACUUUACCUAACAAAAAAUAUUUUUUUCACAUAAUCAUCGCACUCCUACUUUUCAAACUUGAUUUUAGUAUAAAAUGUGCUACGAUUAUGCGAUAAAACACGGUAUAAUGCGACCCCCACUUUCAGUUUCAACAGUUUUGGUAAACAUCACCACCACUUUAUAGUCCAGUAUAUAUGGUAACUUUACAUAGUUUAACUAUGUACGGUAAGCAAAAGAAUGGCUAAAGUUUAGAUUGGCAGAAACUCUGAAAUUUGGAAUUUUUUGACAAGCUGCAAAAAAAUAAAGUUUGAAAAAACUGCAAAAAAAAUCUAGAAUAUUACGUAUUUCAUAAUACCUAUUAUUAUCAUUAUUAUUAUCAUUAUUAUUAUUAUUAUCUAGUAACGAUUUACAUUAAAUGCGUCCAUUGCAUGAAGGCAUUUGAAAGUACAUAAUAGGCUUGUGAAAUUUUUUGAAUACAUUUGGUUGAAUGUAAAAAAUACAAAUUUAUUAUUCGUAUUUGAUUUUUUUUUUAAUAAUGAAUAUUCUAUUGGUUACAAAUAUUUUACUUAGCCUCAUUGGUUUGUCGUAUACCAACAUUUGCUGUUGAGGUUAAGUCAUUUGUAUUAUAUAAAUAUCCAUAUUAGAUAUUGAUGGGAUCACAUUAAAAAAAAAGAACAAUACUCUGUGUUUUAAACAUGCAACAAGAAUUCAAAGUUAUUUCACUACUUUCUCGCAUAACAGUAGCGGUAAAAAUUGUGUGG